GCUUGUCUCAAAGAUUAAGCCAUGCAUGUCUAAGUAUAAGCAACUUUGUACUGUGAAACUGCGAAUGGCUCAUUAAAUCAGUUAUAGUUUAUUUGAUGGUUUUUGCUACAUGGAUAACUGUGGUAAUUCUAGAGCUAAUACAUGCAUUCAAGCCCCGACUUCUGGAAGGGGUGUAUUUAUUAGAUAAAAAUCAACUUUGUUGGUGAAUCAUAAUAACUUCUCGGACCGCAUGGCCUUGUGCUGGCGGUGCUUCAUUCAAAUAUCUGCCCUAUCAACUGUCGAUGGUAGGAUAGAGGCCUACCAUGGUUGCAACGGGUAACGGGGAAUAAGGGUUCGAUUCCGGAGAGGGAGCCUGAGAAACGGCUACCACAUCCAAGGAAGGCAGCAGGC
rnacentral:rRNA from 1 species